AAUGUCGUGAGUUGAAUUGGUGGGUCUAACAUUGAAACCUCACCACCGACCACACCUCCCUCCAUAUUUCAAUUACAGCUUUGUUCAAUUUGUUGUCUCUUGAGAUUCCGACCGACGACGAUAGUUACUCAACCACUAAACGUUACCCUAUCUCAGAACAAAAAAUAUGGAGCACGAUGAGGACCGAUUGUCGAAUCUACCGAAAGUCAUUCUUCAUAGCAUCAUGUCGAGAUUACCAGAAGAAGAUGCUGCUAAGACAAGUGUUUUGUCUAAAGAUUGGUUAGAAACAUGGUAUACUUUUCCUAUAUUGUCUUUUUCUGAUUCUCAAAUCACUGGGUUGUUUCCUCCAUCUGAUUUAGGGAGAAUGUUGUUUCCCGAAUCAAUGGAUGAUUUUGUGACAAAGAUAGAAAAUUUCAUUGAUUAUGUGAAGAGAAGAUUGUUGAGGUUCUACGAUAAUGGAUUGGCUAUCAAAAAAUUUAAGCUUGUUGUGGACAAUGUUGAGCUAUGUAGUUACAUCUUAAUGGAUGUUGAUCUUUGGUUGAAGUUGGCAGGUGAAAGUGGUGUUGAAGUACUAGACCUUUAUUUGCCUGAUGGUCCCGACCAGGAUGAAGAAGGUGGCAUUAAAUACUAUGUCCUACCAAAAGGUGUAAUUGAAGUCAAAUCGCUUACUGAGUUAGUGUUGAUGCCGGGAAUCGGAGUUGAUACAGCAUUCAUGAAUCAUUCAAUUAAAUUUUUCUCACUAAGAGUAUUGUCAUUGUGGGGUGUCCUUGUGAGAGACGAACAUGCAAUCGAACAUCUCAUUUCUUGUUGUCCUUUGAUUGAACAUAUAACUGUGAGCUUUUGUUCAGUGUUGCGCCCUAAUGGCGCAACAAAUCGUCUACUUGAGGGGAGCAUGAAGUCUUUGAGUAUGGUUGGUCUACUUAAGUUGAAGACGGUUGAUGUUCGAGGAAUACAAGAGAUUUACAUUGACGCCCCGUGUCUUGAGAAAUUAUUUUAUUGUCCUGGUUAUUUUGACGAACCAUUUAAGAUUGAUUUUGAUAGGUGCCAAAAUUUGAAAUAUUUGUCUCUGAUGAGAGAUAUUAUCACUGACAAAUGGUUUCUCGAACUGUUUCCAAAAUUUCCUUUCCUUGAGAGUUUGAAAUUGAACAACUGUACAAUGGCCGAGAGGAUUGAUAUUUCAAGUGAUCAACUUAAGGUGUUGGGGUUAUCUAAUUGUUCUAACUUGAAGGAGGUCAACAUUGAUGCUCCAAAUCUAUUAUCAUGUGUAUAUCACGGUGAUUGUAGUUUAGAGACUAUUAUAUCUUUUCUAAGAAGUUCUAGUCAGCUAAAAGUUGAUAUGGAUUUUUCCAUUGAUUAUCGUCAUCUUUGUAACUUGAGGGAAUUUGUGCAAAACAUCAAACCUCAAAAUGUUUUGUCAUCUCUAUCCCUGUUCAUCUUUAAGCGAAUUGCGGAUGUACUACACCCGAUGGUAUUUCAAGUGUCAUCCCCUCCACCAAGUAUCAAACACUUGCACCUUCUCUAUGUUCCAACAAAUGAAACUACGUUUUCAUCUAUUGUAAAUAUCUUACUUUCAAGUUGCUGCCCUGCAUUUAUAUCUUUGAACCCACAUUCUAAAGCGUUCAUUGAGGUAUGUCAUUCUCUCCCAUGUUCCUUUAAUUUCAAGUUGUGCUUCCAGCAGUGAAAUUCUUACAUAUUAUAUUGUGAAUUUGUGAUUGUACUAUAAAAGGUUUGUCAUCUAUAUUUUCCUUUUAUAUCAAACACAUUUCAUUUAUGCUUAAAAUGUGUUUGAAUCGGGUCUUUGAGUAAGAAUUAUUUGCUAAAAACAGGACAAAGUUGAGUAAACAAAAGAUUGGUGAGUUUCUUCCUUUUCUGACGUCGCCUCUGUUUGAAGGCAGUAACUCGCACCAUUGCAAUCUAUGUUUAUAUUAAUUACCCUAUGAUUCUACAUCCAACUUCUCUUAUUGCUCCAAUUUUCUUUCCUUCAACUAUUUUGUUCAAUUUUGAGUUUAAUAUCUUCUGCAGAGCAUUCAUUGAGUUCUUAUAUGAGACGCUAAUGGAAAGAAAGGGGGAUGACUGCUUUUGCAGUUCUAGUGAUACUAAGUGUUGGUGGCAUGGCUUGAAGAAUGUGAAAGUCAUAAGCUCGGUGAAGAUUGAUGAGAAUAUUGAUUUCAAGACCAU